CCCAGUGAACAAUUAAACGGCCGCGGUAUCCUAACCGUGCAAAGGUAGCAUAAUCAUUUGUCUAUUAAUUGUAGACCUGUAUGAAAGGCAAAAUGAGGGUUUAACUGUCUCUUGUAAUAAACCUAUUAAACUGAUCUUUUAGUAAAAAAGCUAAAAUACCCCCAUAAGACCAGAAGACCCUGUGAAGCUUGAACUAAACCGUUAAACCAAAUAACGAUUAAUUUCGGUUGGGGCAACCUUGGAAAUAAAAACAACUUCCAACUUAAAAACUAACCAAACGGCCUACAAGCCAAUUAACGACCCAGUAAGACUGACAACUGAACAAAGUUACUCCAGGGAUAACAGCGCUAUCUUCUUCAAGAGUCCAUAUCAAAAAGAAGGUUUACGACCUCGAUGUUGGAUCAGGACAUCCUAUUGGUGCAACCGCUAUUAAGGGUUCGUUUGUUCAACGACUAACGUCCUACGUGAUCUGAGUUCAGACC
rnacentral:rRNA from 1 species